rnacentral:rRNA from 1 species
UAGGGAAUCUUCGGCAAUGGACGAAAGUCUGACCGAGCAACGCCGCGUGAGUGAAGAAGGUUUUCGGAUCGUAAAACUCUGUUGUUAGAGAAGAACAAGGACGUUAGUAACUGAACGUCCCCUGACGGUAUCUAACCAGAAAGCCACGGCUAACUACGUGCCAGCAGCCGCGGUAAUACGUAGGUGGCAAGCGUUGUCCGGAUUUAUUGGGCGUAAAGCAAGCGCAGGCGGUUUCUUAAGGCUGAUGUGAAAGCCCCCGGCUCAACCGGGGAGGGUCAUUGGAAACUGGGAGACUUGAGUGCAGAAGAGGAGAGUGGAAUUCCAUGUGUAGCGGUGAAAUGCGUAGAUAUAUGGAGGAACACCAGUGGCGAAGGCGGCUCUCUGGUCUGUAACUGACGCUGAGGCUCGAAAGCGUGGGGAGCAAACAGG